rnacentral:rRNA from 1 species
UACGAAGGGUGCAAACGUUGCUCGGAAUUAUUGGGCGUAAAGCGCACGUAGGCGGCAUUGCAAGUCGGAUGUGAAAUCCCUCGGCUUAACCAAGGAAGUGCAUCCGAAACUGCAGUGCUUGAGUACUUAAGAGGAUCGCGGAAUUCCCGGUGUAGAGGUGAAAUUCGUAGAUAUCGGGAGGAACACCAGUGGCGAAGGCGGCGAUCUGGGAAGAUACUGACGCUGAGGCGCGACGGCGUGGGGAGCAAACCGG